rnacentral:lncRNA from 1 species
CAUAAAACAAAAUAAAAUAAAUAAAUAAAUAAAUAAUGAGAAAGUUUUAAUAAAAAAAAAAAAAAGGAAAAAUUUGAAUUUAUCAUUUAUUCUAUCAAUUUAAAGUGGUAUAUAUAUAUAUAUAUAUAUAGAGAGAGAUAUAUACAUAUGUGUACCGCAAGAAACAACGAAACAAAAACACAGUACGAACAAGUUCGAUGAAAAAAAAAGAGCGGAAUAACAAAUUUUUUUUAUUAACCAAACGGGAGUAAAAAUAGUAAGUAUGCAUAUCGACACACACGUGCCCAUACGUAUAUAUAUAAAUAUAUAUCUGUAUAUAUACAUAUUUGCAUUUGUAUAUUUACUAGAAUGUAAAAAUGAAUGAGGAUAAUGAUAUUAAACUAAUGGAGAGUAGUAUUAAUGACUCUAUAUGGAAUGAAACAAAUUUAAAAAACAACUAUAAUAAUAAUAAUAAUGUAAAUAGUCACUAUAUGUGUUCUGAUAUCAUAUCUUGUGAUGAAAAAAAAAUGAUAAUACAAACAUUAAAUGCUAGUACUACUAAUUGUGUUAAUGAUAAAGUUAUAUACGAAGCACCUCGACUUUAUACAGAUCGUGUCACUGGUACUGUAAAAAAUACUGAUUGUAGUUAUAUUGUUAAUAGUAACAAUGCGAGUGGAAACAAUACACAUCAAGAUAUUAGCGAGGAAGAAAAUGUCGAAAAUUCUUUACUCGAAGAUGGAGAAAUCAAAAAUGAAACAUCCAUUUCAGAUGUACUCUGUAAUAAAAACAGUACAAAUGGUACCACAGAUAUAAAAAUAAACACCCAUUUUAAUAGCGACACAAAUGAUACUAAUGAUAAUAAUACGUGUAAUAGUUACAAUAGUAAUAAUGAAAACAACAAUAAUAACUACAACUGCAGUGGUAGGAAGCGCGAGGAGAGUGAAAAUAAAAAUCAUGAAUCACAACUAUCUUUAUUAUCAGCCGAUGGUAAUGAAAAUAAUAGCGCUAUGUUUUCAAAGAAAGAACACAUAGAAAUAAUGCAAAAUAUAAUAAAUUUUAAUAAAAAUGAAAUGGAAUUAAAUUUAAGUAGAGGGGAAUUAUAUUUAACUGAAGAAGAAUAUAUUUUUAUUUCUUCUCUUUUAGUAUCUAGUGGAUUUAGAUUUUAUUCUUUUGAAGAUAUGAUAAAAAAAAAAAAAAAAAAAAGAGAUAUAUAUAAUAAUAUGACUAUAGAUGAGUCAGAUUUAACAAAUUAUAAACGAUCAAAAAGUGAUAUUAUUUUUUAUGCACGUAAUAACAUAUAUAAUAAUAAGUAUGGUAAUUAUAAUGAUAAACAUGGAUAUCCAAGCGAUAAAAAUAGCACUUAUAGCGACAUAAAUUGUAGUAUGAAUGAAAUAAUAGAAGAAUAUAAUAAUAAUAGUAAUAAACUAUCAAACUACAAUACAUCAUCUAUAUUAUUAGAAAAUAUAAAUAAUUCAUCAUUAAACAAGUUACAUGAAGGAAAUAAAAAUAGUAUGAACGAAAUGACAGAUGAUGCUACUAUGAAUGAUAAAGAUGGUGUGACACGCGCUGUUAGUAGUAGUAGUAGUUGUAGUAGUAAAACAAAAGUAGAAUCAUGUAAUGAAAAAGAACUUAGUGCAGAAGAAAAAGAACAAAUUGAAUUAUGUGAGGAAGUAAUUAUACAAUUGAAAAAAUAUUAUUAUGAUAGAAUAAUGAAUUUAGAGAGUCAUUUUAAUAAUCUAGAUGAUAAAAUAGAACAUAAUAAUUUUUUUUAUUUUAAUUGUAUAAUGGAUAAAUUAAAAAAUAGAAAAUAUAAAAAUAUAUUAUUAAUUUAUAAUGAUAUAUAUUCAUAUAUAAAUAAUUUAUUAUAUUUAUCAAAACCAUCUAGUUAUAUUUGGAUGAAAAUACACGAACUGUCAACUCAGAUAACUAAUACAAUUUUAAAUAUACAAAAAACAAAAGUAGAUACGUAUAAAAAUAUGACUUAUCAUAGUAGUCUGCAAAACAACAUGUACAACAACAUGUACAACAACACAUAUAACAACAUGUACAACAACACGUAUAACAACACGUAUAACAACACGUACAACCACGAUUGUAAUAAUUUAUAUGCUACUAGUAAUGACGAAGCAGAUGGUGAACAAUUUCGACAAAGACAUUUUGGAGAUAGAAAUCAAUUUAACAAACAAAUAGGCAAUAAUGAAACGAUUGAAAAUGUGAUUACUGAGGAAGAAAAGUUAGCGUUUCAAAUGCUACUUGCAAAGUUGCACCAGGAUAUACACUUCGAAGUAAUAACAAACAAACAAACAAACAAACAAAUAGUAAAAACGGAACAUAUGCGUAUACUUACGCUUAUUAUUUUAUUAACAUAUAGAGAGCCA